rnacentral:misc_RNA from 1 species
AGGGGGGUGGGUGUUGGUGGAGUCUGGGCAGACCGAGUGUACCUCCCUACUCGGUUCCGGACGUGGGUAGCGAUCGAGUGUCGACACGGGGAAUGACCGACGGACUGUUCGACCGUCCGAUCGCCGGAAUUAUCGCCGGAAAAUUUUUCCGGCGACUUUUCCGGCGAUCGGUUUUGUCGCAGUUUUCGGGCAUUUCUCGGACAAAAAUCGCUGAGUGGUCGCGGAGAAUGGGCGUGUCAUGCGUGGGAUGACAUGGAUUCUUCGAGGCCUUGGGGUGGCGGUAUAUAAGGAGAUCGCACGAUAUACCGAGAUGUCCCCACGGGCANCGUUUCACUCCGUCGCCGAAGAGAAUGGGCGUGUCAUGACAUGGGCUGACAUGGAUUCUCCAAGGCCGUGGGUGGCGGUAUAUUCGGAAUGCACACGAAAUACCGAGAUGUCCCCAUGGGCGUCGAUUCCACCCGCCUAGGUUGGAUGGGCGUGCUUCGUUGGAAAGCAUGGAUCCGCCUAGGCUGUCCCGGGGAUGAGCAAGGUGUGAGUGUCGCCCAUGGGCAUCGACACCUUGCGGCUUCGAACGGAAACGGAGGUAAGCACAGGAUUGUACGCCGAGCGGGUGUCUUGGAGUCAUCCAGUUUACCUUUUGCGGAUGUUCAUGGCAACCAUCUUUUGAUGGGAAGUGGAUAUCGGAAGUCAAGUCUUUGACCGUGAAGUGCCAUGAAGUUCCCAGGCUUUGUGUAUAACUUCCGGACUGCGGCUUCGAUAUUCGCAGCCUAGGUUGGAUGGGCGUGCGAAAGCAUAGAUCCGCCUAGGCUGUCCCGACGGUUUUUCGCGCUUGUGCGGCUUUGGCCUGGAUUCGUCCGUCUUCUCUCUUCUCAGCCGAGUAUUUCGGAGAAGUCGGGGAACGAUUGAUGUUUUUGGGUCAAUUGAACGUUCGGCGUAUGAGUGGUGAUCGGAUAGCUAGUGUUUGUAGGCUCCUGCUCGCGCACCCAACUACUUACCACCUAUCCUUCUCAGUUACUUCACGGGCGAUAUUACGCUCGAUGAUCGGAUCCAGGGCCUGUGUUGCGUACCUAACUAGAAGGUAUUGUUGAGUUUGGUUUACACCUUUGUCCGCGGCAUCUCCUUCGUGGAGAAGUCGUGGGCACAAAAAUCGGCCCUUGUUUACCUCUCGACAUUGCAUUUUUUUUGCCUUGUUCGCAUUGGUGAAUAAGUUGCCGGUUGAAAUCUCGGAUGCGGAAAAGUUAUAGACGGUGACUCGAAGUGAUUCGGUCCCGCCAAAGCUCAUCCGUCUUCGGGCAAAAGAUGACAGUCAAAACCUCGUCCUUUCUCUCUUUCCUUUGCGUUUGCGAGAAUGUGGCGGGGAAUUGCUGUGAUCGAUGAAUGC